AGAGUUUGAUCCUGGCUCAGGAUGAACGCUAGCGACAGGCUUAACACAUGCAAGUCGAGGGGCAGCGGGGGUAGCAAUACCCGCCGGCGACCGGCGCACGGGUGAGUAACGCGUAUGCAACUUACCUAUCAGAGGGGGAUAACCCGGCGAAAGUCGGACUAAUACCGCAUGAAGCAGGGAUCCCGCAUGGGAAUAUUUGCUAAAGAUUCAUCGCUGAUAGAUAGGCAUGCGUUCCAUUAGGCAGUUGGCGGGGUAACGGCCCACCAAACCGACGAUGGAUAGGGGUUCUGAGAGGAAGGUCCCCCACAUUGGUACUGAGACACGGACCAAACUCCUACGGGAGGCAGCAGUGAGGAAUAUUGGUCAAUGGCCGAGAGGCUGAACCAGCCAAGUCGCGUGAAGGAUGAAGGAUCUAUGGUUUGUAAACUUCUUUUAUAGGGGAAUAAAGUGUGGGACGUGUCCCAUUUUGUAUGUACCCUAUGAAUAAGCAUCGGCUAACUCCGUGCCAGCAGCCGCGGUAAUACGGAGGAUGCGAGCGUUAUCCGGAUUUAUUGGGUUUAAAGGGUGCGUAGGCGGACCAUCAAGUCAGCGGUCAAAAGUCGGGGCUCAACCCCGUAAAGCCGUUGAAACUGGUGGUCUUGAGUGAGCGAGAAGCAGGCGGAAUGCGUGGUGUAGCGGUGAAAUGCAUAGAUAUCACGCAGAACCCCGAUUGCGAAGGCAGCCUGCCGGCGCUCAACUGACGCUGAGGCACGAAAGUGCGGGGAUCGAACAGGAUUAGAUACCCUGGUAGUCCGCACAGUAAACGAUGAAUGCUAGCUGUCCGGGUCGAAUGAGACCUGGGUGGCACAGCGAAAGCGUUAAGCAUUCCACCUGGGGAGUACGCCGGCAACGGUGAAACUCAAAGGAAUUGACGGGGGC
rnacentral:rRNA from 1 species